rnacentral:rRNA from 1 species
AUUGAACGCUGGCGGCAUGCCUUACACAUGCAAGUCGAACGGCAGCAUGGGUGCUUGCACCUGAUGGCGAGUGGCGAACGGGUGAGUAAUGCAUCGGAACGUGCCCUGAAGUGGGGGAUAACGUAGCGAAAGUUACGCUAAUACCGCAUAUUCUGUGAGCAGGAAAGAGGGGGAUCGCAAGACCUCUUGCUUUAGGAGCGGCCGAUGUCGGAUUAGCUAGUUGGUGGGGUAAAGGCCUACCAAGGCGACGAUCCGUAGCGGGUCUGAGAGGAUGAUCCGCCACACUGGGACUGAGACACGGCCCAGACUCCUACGGGAGGCAGCAGUGGGGAAUUUUGGACAAUGGGCGCAAGCCUGAUCCAGCCAUGCCGCGUGAGUGAAGAAGGCCUUCGGGUUGUAAAGCUCUUUCGGUGGGGAAGAAAUUGCUUCGGCUAAUAUCCGGAGUAGAUGACGGUACCCGCAUAAGAAGCACCGGCUAACUACGUGCCAGCAGCCGCCGCAG